rnacentral:rRNA from 1 species
UCCGUGCCAGCAGCCGCGGUAAUACGGAGGGUGCGAGCGUUAAUCGGAAUUACUGGGCGUAAAGCGCAUGUCAGGUGGUUUGUUAAGUCAGAUGUGAAAGCCCGGGGCUCAACCUCGGAACUGCAUUUGAAACUGGCAGACUAGAGUACUGUAGAGGGGGUAGAAUUUCAGGUGUAGCGGUGAAAUGCGUAGAGAUCUGAAGGAAUACCGGUGGCGAAGGCGGCCCCCUGGACAGAUACUGACACUCAGAUGCGAAAGCGUGGGGAGCAAACAGGAUUAGAUACCCUGGUAG